rnacentral:rRNA from 1 species
ACGAACGCUGGCGGCAUGCCUAACACAUGCAAGUCGAACGAGACCUUCGGGUCUAGUGGCGCACGGGAGCGUAACGCGUGGGAACCUGCCCUUAGGUUCGGAAUAACUCCCCGAAAGGGGUGCUAAUACCGGAUAAUGUCUUCGGACCAAAGAUUUAUCGCCUUUGGAUGGGCCCGCGUUGGAUUAGCUAGUUGAUAGGGUAAAAGCCUACCAAGGCGACGAUCCAUAGCUGGUCUGAGAGGAUGAUCAGCCACACUGGGACUGAGACACGGCCCAGACUCCUCCGGGAGGACGAGGGGGGGAAUAUGGGAAAAGGGGCAAAAGCUUGACCAAGCAAGGCCGGGGGAGGGUUGAAGCCUUGGGGGUUGAAAACUUUUUUUCCCGGGGAUAAAAAUGAGGUAACCGGGGAAAAAGCCCCGGGCUACCCCCGUC